GUCUUUGCUUCGGCAAUACAAAUACUAAAAUUGGAACGAUACAGAGAAGAUUAGCAUGGCUCCGGCGCGAGUAUGACAGGCAAAAAAGCAUCAGAUUUAUAUUAUUUAU